rnacentral:lncRNA from 1 species
ACAUGAUGGAGGUGGGGUUCAGCUAAACAUGGGAAGGCACAGCCUGGACUAUGAAGGGAGGCACCACCACACGCCAUCUAGUGAAGUAACAAAGAACGCUGCCAGACGUAUCGUGUGCAUGCAGGCUACAUUUAUCAUAUUAAACCAUGAAAUGAUGCCUACUGGAGAGAGCAGGCUCUUUUUUUCAAACUCCAGUUAUUUGUUUUAAGGAGUUGAACUGAGCUCUAGCAGCUCCCCCAGUGUGCAGACUGG